rnacentral:lncRNA from 1 species
ACUUUCUGGCCUCUAUAACUAAAGUGAUGGACUUCUGAUCAUUUUUUUCCACAUCCCCAUCUCAUUUCAUUUCUUAGAGGUUGAUGUGCUUCCUUGCAACCUGAAUUCCCUGUUAGGAAACACUUUAUUGCGUUGUUAGAGAGUAGCAGUCACUCUUUAAUAUUUAAACCAGACAUCUACAACAUGUAUUUUUUGCAAGCAUUUAAUUAAAUACAACAAAUAGAAUUCUCUUGGCCAGGGGCAAAGGGUUAAGUUUAAAAAAAGAGAGAGAAAUGGACACUAAAAAGAAGCACACACCUGGGCAAGCCUUUGCCUAGCUCUUGCUUUUUCUUGGUUACUUGCUGGAUGACCUGUUCCCAGUUGACAUUUCUCCGGGAUGCAUUUAGAAUCUGCCGAAGGGUUGGCUUGAGCCCAGACUCCUUCUCCGUCUCACCCUUUCGAUGACCACUGAUAUUGCGUAUGCGGCGAGCACUAUUGAGGUUUGGCUCAGGAAGGUGUACUCCAGUUUUGCUCUUUAAACUGAUGUGCCUGGUUAGAUCUCUCUGGAGAGAGGCAGGAAAGCCAAGCUUACUGAGGUCAGGCAGAAGAGGGCCUGAGGACGGACCGAUAUCGUUUUUUUGAAGCUCUGCAUCCAAGCUAGCACUCUCGAAACCUUCUGUUGCGUAAGACACAUGAGAUUUAACAGGGUCAUCAACCUGUGCAUCUUCUAGAGAAGUUUUCAAGUCUAGCAGUAAGCCAGAGUGUGGACUGGCUGCAGACGUCAUUUGUAACUCAGGUUCUUUCUGAUGAACUGUUGAAUUACAUGCGUUAGUGGAUAGUUUUCUACAUGUUUUCAGGUUUUGCUCAUCCCCGUCUUUCUCAUCAGUGAUGUGAGUGCUACAGGAUAAAAUUUCUGUAGGUGCAGAACCCAGGGCUCCAAUUUUUGUUCCAUGCUUUUCUGUGUCAGAUAGCUCCCCAUCACUUUCAUCUUCUAAUGUGCGUACCUGGAACUCUAUCUUCAAAGAUCCUUUUUCAGACUCUUCUACAUUCCUACUUGCUUUUGCAUAGUUCCUGGUCCUUUUAGAAGUGCUAAGGAGUGGAUUUUGCAGUGAUUCAUGACACUGUAGCACCUCUUUGGCUUUUUGUAACGUAUCACUUACAUUUUUAUCAGGUUCCACCUGAGCGCCAAAUGUACUUUUAUUCCCUUUUAAAACACGAGGACAUGAACUUUGCAAUUUGGUUAUGUAAGACCCAUGACUGUCUGCCACAGUGGGUUUGUUCAAGGGAUUUGAGUGUUCUCCAGGAAAAAAAGAAUUUGUUUUGGUGUUUUUUGAGGGAUUCUUUAAAUCUGGGUUCUGGGGAACUGAUUUAGUGACUGGAAUUGGAAGGAGUGCAGAUUUCAAUGAUGGCAUCUUACUUAAGUUAAGCUCUUGUUCGUGUUUCUCUGUGACGGGGCAAUCUCUCACCGCCUCAUAGGGAGCAGUGCAGUCAGAAGGGGCUUUGUGACUAAGCAAUCCAGUAUGUGUUUCUUUUUGUGUUUUCAGUGUCGGGGAGUUACCUUUUCCAUCAUUCUGGGGCUCUGCUGCUCCUGUGGUUGUCAAGCUAAAGCCAAAGAAAGGCUUAUCUAUCAUUUCUGCCUUGUUUCCAGCGCCUUCUUUCAUGGCGGAUUGUAAAUCCAGAGUCUUCUGGGAAGGGUAAGGAGUCCAGCGGCGGAGCUUUUCCCUUGCUACACUGCUGUUCUUCCCACCAGUUUUGGAACCUAUGGUAUCUGUUUGUUUAGUAGUUUUGCUUUCUAGCUGCUCAAAAUUGAAGUCAAGUAAGCCUUCUGAAGGAAAUGUAUCGCUUGUAAAUCCUUCAGAAGGCCCUCUGUAUGUGGCAGCCGCACCAACUUUGUCGCUUUCUUGCCGCUGCCAACUGUAUCUAUCCUGACUGUAUUUGUUAGACUUAGAUUUCUUAUUCCACAGCAUAGGUAAGUCUUCCAUCUGACAGUUAGAGUUUCUGUUUCUGCCUGGCUGAAAUUUGUCUCCGGGGCCACUGUAAUUCCAACUAUUUGUACUACGUACACUGGAUUUCCAGUUUCCGUUACUGCUGUUCAUAUGCCAACUGGAAAAGCCACCUGUUCCUUCAGAAUGCCAACUGGAAUUCCUUCCUGUACCACUAUGAUUCCAAUCUACCGUUCCACUAUUUGCAUGCCAACCACCUCCAGAAUUACCAUGGUUGUGAAACCAAGUCGCAGAGCCUCCUGCAACACCCUUAUGCCACCCGGAACAUCCUCUUGGUCCACCAUUAUUCCUCAAAGAAUGUGGAAAGUUGUUUUUCCUACUAUUAUUAAAGCCAUCUUUCUCCCACUUCCAGUCUCGCUGAGGAGGUCCGCGAUGAUGCCAUGUUGGCUGACUGUAGCUCUCUCUGUCUUGGUAAGGGAUUCGGUCUUCUCGUCUCCAUUGGGGUCGCCUGUCAUCAGAGUUUAUUUCUUGGCUGCUGUUGGAAGGUUCAUCUUGUCUGGAAGAAAAACAGUUCUCCAUUAGUGAUUUAAAGUAAUUAUCAUGCUUCUUUAAAAGGCAUAACCCAUCAAACUUUCCUCUACCUAUCUCCUUGGCUACUUAGAACAUACAAUAGUCUAUUUUUAUUUCUAGUAGUGGCUGUUUCCCGUCUUUAAAUGAUAUUGCUAAACUUAUAUCUCACAGUUUAUGGAUGCAGAUAUUAAACGAUAUGCCAUUUCUGCUAUCACUCCAGAAAUACUAAAAAUCUGACACAUUUAUACUAUCCUCCUUUUCCUGCUCCUGCUUUUCUUAGCAUGUUCUGGGACUUUUGUCCCCAUCAUCCAAUUAUUAUUUUCACAUUAUGUAGCUUUUUGAAAAUAAGCAUAAUUGUAUCUCGUAGCUUUGGCUAGUUAUCAUAGUUAAUACAACCUAAGUUCCACUGCUCUUAAUACUGUGGAUUUUUCCAGCCAUAGAUUCUUUCUGAAAAACCCAGUUUCUUAACCUAUUUUAAAUGCUAAGAUUUCACUUUGCAUUAUCACUUUCAUUAAUAAACACUUUAUCCAGCACAUAUUCAACGACUGUUAGUUGUGGAAGAAAACUUUUAUGUAUAGUUCCUGUUCCUGAAAGACUUACAACCUAGCUGAGAAAAUAAGGUCACCAACAGGAGUAAAAUAGCACAUACCAAAUAAGCAGUACCCACAAUCAGUGCUAUAAGGAGCUUCAUGAGCUAGAGGUUUUUAUAAAGCUACAGCUGUUUGAACUAUUCGUGUUAGACAAGGAGCCCGCAGAAAUGUGAACAGACUUAAGUAAACACCACAGGAAUAGGUGUAAAACCACUUCCCUCUAUAAACUGCCUGUGGUAUGCCUGGCAUAGUGCUUAACACAUGUGGUAGGUGCUCGAAAAAUCGAAUAAUACUAGCUAAAACUUAUCGAGUGCCUACUGUCAGGCAUUUUAAGCACUUUAUAUAGAUGAUCUCUUUAAUUUUCACAGCUCUGAAGCAACUAUUCCUCUUAUUCCUACUUUUUGGAUGAAGAAACAGAGCAUUAGAGAGGUAGAGUAACGUGCCUAGAGUUAGAAAGCCAGUAAGUGGUACAGGAGAGAUCUGUUUGGCAGACUGACUCUAGAGUCUACACUCUUAACUGCUAGCCCUUGAUGAACUGAAAAUCCCCAAACUAAAUUUCUGCUAUUGGGCUCCCUCCUCUUAACUUGACUUAAACUCCGUAAUGACUCUAACUGGUUCUAAAAACUUGUAAUGUCUCUAAGAUUUUGGGACAAAUUGGAAUUUCUUCCUUUUUCACAAGAUGGAAUUCAAAGUUAAUUUACUUGAAAGUUCAAACAUCCACUUUCAUUAUGAAUUACAACCAUUUCUAAACAGGAGACCCUAAGUCGCCAAGUGACAAGUAUUAUUACAUACAUGUGCAGGAUUUUUUUUUUUAACACCAUUGACCAAAUUGCUUUUAUCUUUUGUUUCUAAGCACUAUACACUUUUGACAUCCAAGGAGAUUACGGACUUGGCUACACUAAUGGGAUCCAGAACUGGGCAACAAAUCUGUCAAAGAAUAGAAUUCCUAGAUCAGUGUGAAUUGGCUAGAUCGUGGGGACAAUGGCAUGCAGCUAAAUCCAUAGCCCAGAAAAAGCAAUCUAAAUUAAAAAUCUCAUGAAGGAAAAGAGAAAAAAAUGUGAAGAAAUAAUAGAUACUAUAAAUACAUCACCAAAGAAGCAUAUCAGAAUAUUCAAAGAAUAUUAACUACAAUGUGAAUGUCUAAUUUACUGAGAAGCUCUUUUACCUUCUGACUUAAUGUUUAAUCAUUUACACAGAUAAGCUAAUAAUGGCACAAAUGCGUAAGAAAAAAAUAAAAGUUAGCCUCCUAGAGGCUUCAACACCCUAAAACAAGAAUAAACUACAGCUAUACUGAAAGUAGUAACAAUGUCAUUUGAAGGACUAAGCAGCAAAACGGGUUUAAGAACCAGGUGCUACUGACAUUUUAAGACUAAGAAAGUCUCCUUCAAGGACUUGUUCAAAACACUUGUAGCAUAUACUACAAGUAGUAAAGACUACUUCCUUUUUAAACUAAACCACUAACUGAAUACAGACUGCAUACCUGGUAUAACUAGUACUCAGAAAGAAUCUUUAAAAUUUUAUAUUAGAACGUAUAACGUUUCUCAUUAUAUUCUAGGACUUGAAAAAUCACCCAACCUCUUAAAUGGUUCUCUCUCUUACUCAUAUCUGAAAAUUUCUGCUUGAACUCUUUAGGCCACAACUCAGUAAUGUAAAAAUACAAAAGCCUAAUACCCGAAUUAUAGAUGCAGGUAUAAAAUUACGUAGUACAGCUAGAAAACUUAUAUUACUCAAAUGAUCUUGACAUUGUCAAGCUUAAAAUACAAAUGUAUCCAGUAAAUACUUACUGAAACACUAAAUAAUGAAGAAUCAAUCACAUUUGGUAGAAGCACCAUGUUAAUUCACAUGGGGCAAAACAUUUUUUUACUGACGGAUAGAAUAAGAAAUACAAUAUAUAUGAAGGAAGCUUAUACACUAAUACCUUUCCAGUAGACAUUCUGGGUAUCAAAUAAAACGAUUCACUGGUGUUCAAAAAAAAAAAAAACUGGAAUAAAGCCACUUUUAAACAUGGUUAUCAACACAGUGAAAAUUUCAGAUAUGUAGCACCUAUAGCUAACUUUUAUGGAGGGAUAAUACUGAGUUUGUUUUUUCUGUAAGCAGAUAGUACAGUAGUUCAAGAGAGGAUUCCACUGACAUUUCAUGCAUAAGACAGCAACCUCAAGCUAACCUUUGCAAUUAAAAUAAGUUUGAAAGUUACUAGAUGAAAAGUACGGAAAUGGAAAAUGUAUUCUCUACCACACUGUUUCAGACAGACUUUUUAAAAAUCAAAAUAAUUACUCACCGACUUUGUUCUUUCCUUUGUUUUAUUAACUGAACGAGUUCCUUGUCAAAAUAAUCUUCUUCCUCUUCUUCUCCCUUUCCAUCAUCUUCUCUCUCCUGGGCAUCAACGUUAUCUUUGUGCAACUGGCUAGAAAUGUGCUUUGCAUAUGCAGAAAGACCCACUUCUGUGACCCCGCACACUCGGCACUCAUGACUACUGUCCCUAGGGAAAGAGGGAGAUGAGGGACGUUCAAUUCUGCCCACUGGCAUGGCACACUCACUAGAUCUGGUAUGGUUUCCUCUGAAAAACACCGCACACUUGGGCACAGUGAAAGAUUAGUGCUAAUCAAUUUCAAUGCUCCUUUCAUCACUUUUAAUGAGUUUGUUCAUAAGUUAUUUUUGAAACGAACUUAAGAUUCUUUUCCAGCAAUCAAGAGGCAAUACACUUCAGAAUAAUGUAGUUUAGGAGGAGAAAUCUUCUUGAAUUGCUGUACUUAAAAUCUUGCCAGAGGAAACAUGGUGAAAGGGGAGGCAGGGCAGGGGGCUCAGAGCAAACAGAAGUUGCUCUAGAGCACACCCAUGA